UACGAAGGGGGCUAGCGUUGCUCGGAAUCACUGGGCUUACAGGGUGCGUAGGCGGCGGAGAAAGUAGGGUGUGAAAUGCCUUGGCUCAACCAAGGCACAGCGCUCUAAACUACUUCGACUCGAGUGAGUCAGGGGUACGCGGAACUUCCGGGUGGGAGCGGUGAAAUGUGUUGAUAUCGGAAGGAACACCGGUGGCGAAGCGGCGUACUGGGGCUUAAC
rnacentral:rRNA from 1 species